ensembl:lncRNA
CCUCAAUACAACAUCCAAACGCUCUUUGAACACCACCAGGCUCGGUGACUCCACCACCUCCCUGGGCAGCCCAUUCCAGUGCCUGACCACCCUUUCAGAGAAGUAGUAUUUCCUAACGUCCAGCCUGAACCUUCCCUGGCACAGCUUGAAGCCAUUCCCUCUAGUCCUAUCACUAUCACACGAGAGAAGAGGCUGACCCCCAGCUCACCACAACCUCCCUUCAAGUAGUUAUAGAGAGCAAUAAGGUCUCCCCUGAGCCUCCUCUUCUCUAGACUGAACAAUCCCAGCUCCUUCAGCCACUCUUCAUAAGGCCUGUGCUCCAGACCCCUCACCAGCUUUGUUGCCCUCCUCUGGACACACUCCAGGGCCUCAAUGUCUU